rnacentral:rRNA from 1 species
GAUGAACGCUAGCGGGAGGCUUAACACAUGCAAGUCGAGCGGGAUUGGCAGCAAUGCCAUGAGAGCGGCGCACGGGUGCGUAACGCGUAUGCAACCUGCCUCAUACAGGGGGAUAGCCCAUGGAAACGUGGAUUAAUAUCCCAUAGUGCCAUUAGCCCGCAUGGGCAUAUGGUUAAAACCGNGGUGGUAUGAGAUGGGCAUGCGUCCGAUUAGGUAGUUGGUGGGGCAACGGCCCACCAAGCCGAUGAUCGGUAGGGGUCCUGAGAGGGUUACCCCCCCAGACUGGUACUGAGACACGGACCAGACUCCUACGGGAGGCAGCAGUGAGGAAUAUUGGCAAUGGGCGAGAGCCUGAACAGCAUCCCGCGUGCAGGAUCGACGGCCCUAUGGGUUNUAAACUGCUUUUCCGNGCCAAGAACCCCCCGAGUGUCGGGGCUGAC